rnacentral:rRNA from 1 species
UACGAAGGGGGCUAGCGUUGCUCGGAAUCACUGGGCGUAAAGCGCACGUAGGCGGAUUGUUAAGUCAGGGGUGAAAUCCCAGAGCUCAACUCUGGAACUGCCUUUGAUACUGGCGAUCUUGAGUCCGGAAGAGGUGAGUGGAACUCCGAAUGUAGAGGUGAAAUUCGUAGAUAUUCGGAAGAACACCAGUGGCGAAGGCGGCUCACUGGUCCGGUACUGACGCUGAGGUGCGAAAGCGUGGGGAGCAAACAGG